rnacentral:rRNA from 1 species
GAUGAACGCUGGCGGCGUGCCUAAUACAUGCAAGUCGAGCGAACAGACGAGGAUCUUGCUCCUCUGACGAGAGCGGCGGGCGGGUGAGUAACACGUGUAUAACCUACCUAUCAGAGUGGUAUCACUUCGGGAAACCGGAGCUAAUACCGUAUAAUCUAUUGCACCGCAGGGUUGAAUAGUAAAAGACGGUUUUGCUGGCACUUAUAGCUGGAUCCGGGCCGGAUUAGCUAGUUGGUAAGGUAACGGCUUACCACGGCGACGAUGCGUAGCCGACGUGAGGGGGUGAUAGGCCACAUUGGAACGGGGACGCGGUCCAGACUCCUACGAGACGCAGCAGUAGCGAACCUUACGCAAUGGGCGAGAGCCUGGCGGAGCGAGCCGGAGCGAGUGACGAAGGUCUUCGGAUCGUAAAGAUCUGUUAUUAGGGGAGAACAAAUUUGUAAGUAACUAUGCACGUCUUGACGGUAACUAAUCAGAAAGCCACGGCUAACUACGUG